AAGCGUGCGCAGGCGGUUUUGUAAGACUGUCGUGAAAUCCCCGGGCUCAACCUGGGAAUGGCGAUGGUGACUGCAAGGCUAGAGUUUGGCAGAGGGGGGUAGAAUUCCACGUGUAGCAGUGAAAUGCGUAGAUAUGUGGAGGAACACCGAUGGCGAAGGCACGCCCCCUGGGUCAAAACUGACGCUCAUGCACGAAAGCGUGGGGAGCAAACAGGAUUAGAUACCCCAGU
rnacentral:rRNA from 1 species